rnacentral:rRNA from 1 species
GAUGAACGCUGGCGGCGUGCCUAAUACAUGCAAGUCGAGCGAACAGAUGAGGAGCUUGCUCCUCUGACGUUAGCGGCGGACGGGUGAGUAACACGUGGAUAACCUACCUAUAAGACUGGGAUAACUUCGGGAAACCGGAGCUAAUACCGGAUAAUAUAUUGAACCGCAUGGUUCAAUAGUGAAAGACGGUUUUGCUGUCACUUAUAGAUGGAUCCGCGCCGCAUUAGCUAGUUGGUAAGGUAACGGCUUACCAAGGCAACGAUGCGUAGCCGACCUGAGAGGGUGAUCGGCCACACUAGAACUGAGACGCGGUCCAGACUCCUACGGGAGGCAGCAGUAGGGAAUCUUCCGCAAUGGGCGAAAGCCUGACGGAGCAACGCCGCGUGAGUGAUGAAGGUCUUCGGAUCGUAAAACUCUGUUAUUAGGGAAGAACAAAUGUGUAAGUAACUAUGCACGUCUUGACGGUACCUAAUCAGAAAGCCACGGCUAACUACGUG